ACUAGCCCUGAAAAUGGAUGGCGCUCAAGCGUCGCACCUACACUGUGCCGUCGGGGCAGAGGCCAGGCCCCGACGAGUAGGAGGGCGCGGCGGUCGUGACGCAGCCUCUGGCGCGAGCCUGGGCGAAACGGCCUCCGGUGCAGAUCUUGGUGGUAGUAGCAAAUAUUCAAAUGAGAGCUUUGAAGACCGAAGUGGAGAAAGGUUCCAUGUGAACAGCAGUUGGACAUGGGUUAGUCGAUCCUAAGAGAUAGGGAAGCUCCGUUUUCAAGCGCCCAAUCGCGGGCCGCCUAUCGAAAGGGAAUCGGGUUAAUAUUCCCGAACCGGAACACGGAUAUCGCCACUCGCUGGCGGGUGCGGCGACGCAAACGAACCCGGAGACGCCGGCGGGGGCCCUGGGAAGAGUUCUCUUUUCUUUUUAACGGACUCUCACCCUGAAAUCAGCUUGCCUGGAGAUAGGGUUCCAUGUCCGGUAAAGCACCACACUUCUUGUGGUGUCCGGUGCGCUCCCGACGGCCCUUGAAAAUCCGGGGGAGACAGUGAUUUUCGUGUCCGGUCGUACUCAUAACCGCAGCAGGUCUCCGAGGUGAGCAGCCUCUGGUUGAUAGAACA
rnacentral:rRNA from 1 species